GACGAACGCUGGCGGCGUGCUUAACACAUGCAAGUCGAACGGAAAGGCCUGCUUUCCCUUGUGGAUUGCGGGUACUCGAGUGGCGAACGGGUGAGUAACACGUGAGUGACCUGUCCCCAACUUGGGUAUAAGCCUGGGAAACUGGGUCUAAUUCCCGAUAGGACUGCAGGGUGGUGGCUGUGGUGGAAAACGAUUUUCUAGUGGUUGGGGAUGAGCUCGCGGCCUAUCAGCUUGUUGGUGGGGUAAUGGCCUACCAAGGCGGCGACGGGUAGCCGGCCUGAGAGGGUGGACGGCCACAUUGGGACUGAGAUACGGCCCAGACUCCUACGGGAGGCAGCAGUGGGGAAUAUUGCACAAUGGGCGGAAGCCUGAUGCAGCGACGCCGCGUGGGGGAUGACGGCCUUCGGGUUGUAAACUCCUUUCGACCGCGAGGAAGCCACCUGGUUGGAAGGGUGGUGACGGUAGUGGUAGAAGAAGCACCGGCUAACUACGUG
rnacentral:rRNA from 1 species